GCCGGACUGAGAGGUCGGACGGCCACAUUGGAACUGAGAUACGGUCCAGACUCCUACGGGAGGCAGCAGUGGGGAAUAUUGGGCAAUGGGCGAAAGCCUGACCCAGCGACGCCGCGUGAGGGAAGAAGGUCUUCGGAUUGUAAACCUCUGUUGACAGGGACGAAGGAAGUGACGGUACCUGUUGAGGAAGCCACGGCUAACUACGUGCCAGCAGCCGCGGUAAUACGUAGGUGGCAAGCGUUGUCCGGAAUUACUGGGUGUAAAGGGAGCGUAGGCGGGCUUGCAAGUCAGCUGUGAAAUUCAAGGGCUUAACCCUUGACAUGCAGUUGAAACUACAGGUCUUGAGUGAAGUAGAGGUAGGCGGAAUUCCGAGUGUAGCGGUAAAAUGCGUAGAUAUUCGGAGGAACACCGGUGGCGAAGGCGGCCUACUGGGCUUUUACUGACGCUGAGGCUCGAAAGUGUGGGGAGCAAACAGGAUUAGAUACCCUGGUAGUCCACACCGUAAACGAUGAUUGCUAGGUGUGGGGGGUCUGACCCCCUCCGUGCCGCAGUUAACGCAAUAAGCAAUCCACCUGGGGAGUACGGCCGCAAGGCUAAAACUCAAAGGAAUUGACGGGGGCCCGCACAAGCAGUGGAUUAUGUGGUUUAAUUCGAAGCAACGCGAAGAACCUUACCAGGUCUUGACAUCGAGCGAUGUACUCAGAGAUGAGUAUUUCCUUCGGGACGCGAAGACAGGUGGUGCAUGGUUGUCGUCAGCUCGUGUCGUGAGAUGUUGGGUUAAGUCCCGCAACGAGCGCAACCCUUGCCAUUAGUUGCUA
rnacentral:rRNA from 1 species